rnacentral:rRNA from 1 species
AGACGUCUACAUUAGAUACCCGUGUAGUCCCAGCCGUAAACUAUGCGCGUUAGGUGUAUCGGUGACCACGAGUCACCGAGGUGCCGAAGGGAAACCGUGAAACGUGCCGCCGUGGGAAGUACGGUCGCAAGGCUAGAAACUUAAAGGAAUUGGCGGGGAGCACCACAACGGGUGGAGCCUGCGGUUUAAUUGGACUCAACGCCGGGAAGCUCACCGGAUAAGACAGCGGAAUGAUUGCCGGGCUGAAGACUCUGCAUGACUAGCUG